rnacentral:rRNA from 1 species
GCCAAUUCCCUAGGCUAGGUCUGAGAGGAUGGAUUCAGGCACACCUUGGAACUGAGACACGUCAGACUCUAACGGAAGGCAGGCAGGUGGGGGAUUAUUGCACAUGGGCGGCAAGCUUGAUGCAGCAUUGCCGCCGUGUUGUGAAGAAGGCCCUUUCGGUUGUAAAAGCACUUUCAGUUCGUUGAGGAAAGGUAGUUGUAGUUAAUAGCUGCAUUCUAUUUGACGUUAGCGACAGAAGAAGCACCGGGCUAACUCCGUGCCAGCAGCCGCGGUAAUACGGAGGGUGCGAGCGUUAAUCGGAAUUACUGGGCGUAAAGCGCAUGCAGGUGGUUUGUUAAGUCAGAUGUGAAAGCCCGGGGCUCAACCUCGGAAUAGCAUUUGAAACUGGCAGACUAGAGUACUGUAGAGGGGGGUAGAAUUUCAGGUGUAGCGGUGAAAUGCGUAGAGAUCUGAAGGAAUACCGGUGGCGAAGGCGGCCCCCUGGACAGAUACUGACACUCAGAUGCGAAAGCGUGGGGAGCAAACAGGAUUAGAUACCCUGGUAGUCCACGCCGUAAACGAUGUCUACUUGGAGGUUGUGGCCUUGAGCCGUGGCUUUCGGAGCUAACGCGUUAAGUAGACCGCCUGGGGAGUACGGUCGCAAGAUUAAAACUCAAAUGAAUUGACGGGGGCCCGCACAAGCGGUGGAGCAUGUGGUUUAAUUCGAUGCAACGCGAAGAACCUUACCUACUCUUGACAUCCAGAGAACUUUCCAGAGAUGGAUUGGUGCCUUCGGGAACUCUGAGACAGGUGCUGCAUGGCUGUCGUCAGCUCGUGUUGUGAAAUGUUGGGUUAAGUCCCGCAACGAGCGCAACCCUUAUCCUUGUUUGCCAGCGAGUAAUGUCGGGAACUCCAGGGAGACUGCCGGUGAUAAACCGGAGGAAGGUGGGGACGACGUCAAGUCAUCAUGGCCCUUACGAGUAGGGCUACACACGUGCUACAAUGGCGCAUACAGAGGGCGGCCAACUUGCGAAAGUGAGCGAAUCCCAAAAAGUGCGUCGUAGUCCGGAUUGGAGUCUGCAACUCGACUCCAUGAAGUCGGAAUCGCUAGUAAUCGUGGAUCAGAAUGCCACGGUGAAUACGUUCCCGGGCCUUGUACACACCGCCCGUCACACCAUGGGAGUGGGCUGCAAAAGAAGUAGGUAGUUUAACCUUCGGGGGGACGCUUACCACUUGUCCG